rnacentral:rRNA from 1 species
CCUACGGGAGGCAGCAGUGGGGGAUAUUGCACAAUGGGGGAAACCCUGAUGCAGCGACGCCGCGUGGGCGAAGAAGUAUUUCGGUAUGUAAAGCCCUAUCAGCAGGGAAGAAGAAAUGACGGUACCUGAGUAAGAAGCACCGGCUAACUACGUGCCAGCAGCCGGUGUAAUACGUAUGUUGCAAGCGUUAUCCGGAUUGACGGGGUGUAAAGGGAGCGCAGGCGGCCCGGCAAGCCUGAUGUGAAAGCCCGCGGCCGAACCGUGGGACUGCAUUGGGAACUACCGGGCUGGAGUGCCGGAGAGGGAGGCAGAAUUCCUGGUGUAGCGGUGAAAUGCGUAGAUAUUAGGAGGAACACCAGUGGCGAAGGCGGCCUACUGGACGGUGACUGACGCUGAGGCUCGAAAGCGUGGGGAGCAAACAGGAUUAGAUACCCGGGUAGUC